ACAACAUUUAGACAAUCGUUCUACCAAGCAAUAUCCCUCACUCGGUGGAAGAUCUUCCCUUUUUCAU
rnacentral:pre_miRNA from 1 species